AAUCAUAUUGCUUAACAUAUGUAAAAAAAAAAUGAUUAAUCCUUUUGCUACAAGAAAUGACUAGAGCUGGUUGAGAACAAAAAGUAAACUAGUCACUUGCCCAAUCUUUUUUUACAAAAAUCGCACGGCUAUUGAAAUAAUAAUCAUUUAAACAAUUCAAAAAUUACUAAUAAAAGUGUAUGAAAAGGAAUAAUUAUCAACAUGUAGAAAUAAUGUUAAAUAUUAAUACAUAAAAUUUAUCGCAUGUAUCAUGUCAAUAGUACAUUCUGCUGCAAAGUCAAAAUUAAUAAAUUAUUAGCUUACUUUAGCACCGUUUAUCAUUAUCAUUUUCCAGAUGUUUCUCAAUCUCGUUUAGAUUAAAAUCAGCAAAUUAAUAAUUCAACAAUUUAACUAAUAUUAAGUCAACAACUCUACGUCAAUAGCUAACUAAAUCGAAAUUUUUGAAGAUUUAUAUAUUCUUUUUCUUUCCUAAUACUUCAUUAUUUUCCUUAUUUUAUUUGUCCUUCUAAUGUCCUAUUAUGUUUACUUAUUUAUAUUUACUCUUGCAUUAUCAGUUAUAACGUCGUAUCACCUAAAUAAACGGUCUCUAUAUAUUCAUUAUUAAACGAAAGAGAAAGAAAAACGAGAUAACAAAAGAGUUAAACUGUUAGAACAAUUGAAUGUGUAAUUAGUGUCAUGUAUCGGUAUGAGAUUAAUUUCAAGUUAUGUUGCGGAUCACACAGACAUAUUAUAUUUGCGUAGGUGCUGAUGUACUUUGCCCACUUCCGCCUCCACUUCUACGUACUCCCGACAAUUGAGACAGCAAUUCCGCAAUUGGAUCUAUACCUUCGCGAUUACUUGGACUCAAUCCUCCGGAUGAACUGAAAUGCAUGUUGGACCUGCAGAUAUCCACAAUUUUGCACAUACCUACGUCCACGCGGCGCUCCAACGGCUCUAGAUGGAUGUGGUAUCCGUCUAACGCCGUGUCUACU